rnacentral:rRNA from 1 species
UACGAGGGCUUCGUAGCAGUGUCCGUCUUAACUAGGCUGUAAAGGGAGCAUAGGCGGUUCCAUAGUUAGUCUCAAAAAUAAGCACUGAAAUUUGACUAAUGAUCUUUGGCAACUCUGAGGAAAGUGGACGAGAGUGGUUACUUUCAAAUAAGCAGUGUAAAUGCCGUAAGAUUGAAAGGACCACCACGUGGCGAUUGCAACUCUCGACACUUUUUUUUUUUUUUAAACCUGACGCUGAAGAUCGAAAGUGUGGGUAGCAAAUCG